AGCGCAACGGGGUGAGGGGCGUCGAUGAGAUGCUCCUGGUGCCUCCCUCCGAGUGGGAGGGGGAGAGGGACGUCAGCGGCGAGCCGGAUGGGGCGAGGGGCGUCGAUGAGAUGCCCCCGGCGCUUCCCUCCGGGCGGGAGGAGGAGAGGGGCGUCGGCGGUGAGGCGGGUGUCGGCGGCGAGAUGGUCUCUGACUGGCGUGAUGAGGCGGGCAGCUUAGGCGUGAAGCGUGCGUUCGUGGAGGUAUUCGCCAGGGCGCUCUUCUAUCCGACGGUGAUGCUCAACUACGGCCGCAGUUUGAUCGAGCCCGAGUUCCACUGGUGGGAUCGCAUCGACAAGGAUAUUUGGAUAGGGGCAGUUCCUCACCAACCAAUGUCAUAAUUUAUCACGUCCGCAAAUGAUUUUUGGACUGUAGUUUGGAUUGUUCUGCCGAGCGUAUAACAACGCAUGCUAUCUAUCAAAGCUUCGACUCAUUUGUUUUGCUGCUCCGGAAUAUUGAGACGAGAAGAAUGGCCUUGAUGCUGGAGGUUAAUGGAUCACCCUGGGAACGAUUUUGAGGGCAUUAUGCCAGCUACUUUGAUGGCAAUGGAUUAUGGAAUGGCAAACUAACAGGGCACAUCGCACAACUGGUAUAAAUGUGUUGAUAUGUUGCAUUUCAAGGCAGUUUCACUCAUAAAUACUACACAGUUUGAACAAUUUAGCAUUUGGGACCACGAGGAUUCCGAUUGGGAGAACGACGUCGUCCAUAGAUUAAUGUAUGGGAACACCGAGCCAACCCACUUUACAGGACAGGAGGGUUGACCGCUGGGCGAUGCGCUGCACGAGUAGGCCAGGAGGAACAAGAGUAGAAGAGGACUGUAGCCUGUAGGUGAGAGAAGAUGAUGCCAUUGCCAUCUUGACUGAAGGUUGGGCAUCUAAAGAUGCUUGGCAACCAGAACUCUGAAGCUAAACACCACUUGAAGGUACCUGGAAAUACAUUACUUGCUGAAGCUGCACAUCCUACGCCCCAGGAGGAGGCCAAAUGCAUAUUCCGAUCAUGUGAUCUAAAUACUAAAGCUUCCUUGCUGGAUCUAAGCAUACUUCCGUAGCAGCCGGAGCUGAACAUUUAGAGAGACCAUACUGUAGCAAGCUUGCUUUCCAGGGACCUGGUGUUUCUGCAAACCCAACGAUAGGCGUGUUUGAAAAAAAAAGUAUGCAAGCUUCUAAGCGCCGGAUCGAUGUCGUACUAACAAAUUAAGCUAAAUGGCGCGCCCGCUGUAGCAAGUGAGUGCCCAUCGAAAUCACCUUGAGCAUAUUUGCGCUGAUUUUCAUGAUUGCUCUUCUGCCAGCAACAAUGUUCCUCGCACUUCGACCACACAACUGUUCCGGAAGAUGUCAUGAAGAAUUUCUUUCAGAGAAUUUGCGUGAGGUGUGUCUAAAUGAUUUUUAUCUUCUGAACAUAUUCUUGUAUGACUAACUGAAUUCAUUUUCUCAAAACGUUGGUACUUUUCCUUUUUCAUUUAUGUUGCUCGACUGAGUCUCUCUCGGAUCAUGUACACUCCACAUGCUAGCUGAUCUGUAGCAGUGCGGAAGGUGAGCUUGGCUGCCGGCAGCAGCUCCUUUGGCUGAUCUGCGGCGAUGCAGAAGUUGGGUUGGAAAAAAGCACGACCGGCUGCUCUGAAGUGGGUCGUAGGGAGAGCUUCGUAAGAGAUAGGGAGGGAGCUCUAUUGGCCCGUGCAUGACAUCCAACCCAAUGGCAUCAUGCCCUGGUAGGCAUGGUUGCAUGGCCACGGGGAGAAUGGAGCAAGUAGCGUGCGAGGAGUUUAAGAAAUGGGGACAAGGGACAGUUUAGUUAAUUAAGUCUAUGUUAGUUUUAAGUUUUAUCCUUGUUGCGGUAAAAAAUUAAGGUUGGAUUAACCACCAUGUACAUCUUUAAUUACUUUUAAAUAAGAAAUAUAAUCAAAAUAUUCUUUUGAAAUCAUAAAAUUUAUAUAAUUUGUACAA